rnacentral:rRNA from 1 species
UACGUAGGCAGCAAGCGUUGUUCGGAGUUACUGGGCGUAAAGGGUGCGUAGGCGGCCUUAUAAGUAUGGUGUGAAAUCUCCCCGGCUUAACUGGGAGGGUGCGCUAUAGACUGUGGGGGCUAGAGUGUGGGAGAGGAAAGUGGAAUUCCUGGUGUAGCGGUGAAAUGCGUAGAUAUCAGGAGGAACACCGGUGGUGUAAAACGGCUUCUGGACCAUAACUGACGCUGAGGCACGAAAAGCGUGGGUAGCAAACAGG